rnacentral:rRNA from 1 species
ACGUACACUCCUACGGGAGGCAGCAGUGGGGAAUUUUGGACAAUGGGCGAAAGCCUGAUCCAGCCAUGCCGCGUGCAGGAUGAAGGCCUUCGGGUUGUAAACUGCUUUUGUACGGAACGAAACGGCCUUUUCUAAUAAAGAGGGCUAAUGACGGUACCGUAAGAAUAAGCACCGGCUAACUACGUGCCAGCAGCCGCGGUAAUACGUAGGGUGCAAGCGUUAAUCGGAAUUACUGGGCGUAAAGCGUGCGCAGGCGGUUAUGUAAGACAGUUGUGAAAUCCCCGGGCUCAACCUGGGAACUGCAUCUGUGACUGCAUAGCUAGAGUACGGUAGAGGGGGAUGGAAUUCCGCGUGUAGCAGUGAAAUGCGUAGAUAUGCGGAUGAACACCGAUGGCGAAGGCAAUCCCCUGGACCUGUACUGACGCUCAUGCACGAAAGCGUGGGGAGCAAACAGGAUUAGAUACCCUAGUAGUCCC